GGGGGUAUAGCUCAAUUGGGAGAGCGUACGACUGAAGAUUUCGGAAUUCGUAAGGUCCCGCGUUCGAUCCGCGGUACCCCCA